CUCUGAUGAAGCUCUGAGCAACCUGGGCUAGUGGAAGGUGUCCCUGCCCAUGGCAGGGGAGUAGAAAGGGGUCUUUAAGGUUCUUUCAAACCCAAAGCAUUCUGUGAUUCUA